ensembl:snRNA U6 U6 spliceosomal RNA
GUGCUCACUUCAGCAACACACACACUAAAACUGGAAUGAUAUAGAGAAGAUUGGCAUGGCCCAGCGCAAAGAUGACACGCAAAUUUGUAAAGCGUUCUAUAUUUAA